UCACUUUGGCAGCACAUAUACUAAAAUUGGAAUGAUACAGAGAAGAUAAACAUCGCCCCUGCGCAAGGAUGACAUGCAAAUUUGUGAAACAUUCCAUAUUUUU
rnacentral:snRNA from 1 species